rnacentral:rRNA from 1 species
AUACGGAGGGUGCAAGCGUUAUCCGGAAUCAUUGGGUUUAAAGGGUCCGCAGGCGGAUUAAUAAGUCAGUGGUGAAAUCCUCUCGCUCAACGAGAGAACUGCCAUUGAAACUGUUAGUCUUGAAUUCGGUCGAAGUAGGCGGAAUGUGUCAUGUAGCGGUGAAAUGCAUAGAUAUGACACAGAACACCGAUAGCGAAGGCAGCUUACUAGACCUGGAUUGACGCUCAUGGACGAAAGCGUGGGGAGCGAACAGCAUUAGAAACCCUUGUAGUCC